CUCUCUCUCCCUCGAAUCGAUCUUCGAAAAACCCCUUCUAAGAUCUGACGAAAAAAGCUUCGAAAAACUCCUUCUAAGAUCUGACGAAAAAAGCUUCGAAAAACCCCUUCGAAGAUCUGACGAAAAAAGCUUCGAAAAACCCCUUCGAAGAUCUGACGAAAAAAGCUUGGUGAAGAUCUGAAAUAAUUUCACUUUUUUCGACGUUCUCCAUCUCUAAUUUUUGUCUGAUAAGAAACGCAAAAUCAGAGAAGCUCUUGAAGAGGGGAAGCCAAUUCCAACGGAGUUGAGAAAUGAAGAAGCAUCGCUCCGCCAUGAAAUCGACCUCGACGAAGAUUAUUUUUCAUCUCAGGAUCUGAAAGUGACCGAAAUUCUUUGGCUUUCUUUGCCAUUCUCCAUCUCCAACAGGUUCGAAUUUUUUAAAUUUUUUAUAUCUGAUUUUUUUUGUUUACACUACUAGAUCUGAAAGAUAAUGGCGUUUUUUUAUUUUUUAUAUUUGAUUUUUAACAGAAGAGUGCGGCUAGUGCGACUAUUGACGAUGAAGAUUGAAGAAUGUUUUUUAUUUUUUUGGAUCUAUGUAAAAGUUGUAAUAAAUUGUAAAAUUAAUUUUUUUGGUUUCAAAUUAUAUAAUAAUAAUGUUCCUUAAUCGUUCUUCUCUU